AUUGAACGCUGGCGGCAGGCUUAACACAUGCAAGUCGAGCGGAGAGAGGUAGCUUGCUACUGAUCUUAGCGGCGGACGGGUGAGUAAUGCUUAGGAAUCUGCCUAUUAGUGGGGGACAACAUUUCGAAAGGAAUGCUAAUACCGCAUACGUCCUACGGGAGAAAGCAGGGGAUCUUCGGACAUUGCGCUAAUAGAUGAGCCUAAGUCGGAUUAGCUAGUUGGUGGGGUAAAGGCAUACCAAAGCGACGAUCUGUAGCGGGUCUGAGAGGAUGAUCCGCCACACUGGGACUGAGACACGGCCCAGACUCCUACGGGAGGCAGCAGUGGGGAAUGUUGGACAAUGGGCGGAAGCCUGAUCCAGCCAUGCCGCGUGUGUGAAGAAGGCCUUAUGGUUGUAAAGCACUUUAAGCGAGGAGGAGGCUACUUUAGUUAAUACCUAGAGAUAGUGGACGUUACUCGCAGAAUAAGCACCGGCUAACUCUGUGCCAGCCGCCGCCGUAA
rnacentral:rRNA from 1 species